UUGGAGGAUGAUGGCAUUGUAAAGGAUUUGAGGAGGUGGCUAGCCUCUUCCGGCGAACCGAAGCCGUCGAUAUGUAGUUGUUGAUGAUGAUGAUGAUCACGAGGAGGAGGGGGGGGGGGGGGGGAGGGGGAAAGCGAGUCGGAUUUUGGCGGAGGUGUAUGAUGUAGACACGAGCGAGGAGGAGGAGGAAAUGAAGAUGGAAGAAGAUUAUGUGGUGGGAAAGGCAUUGCAGAAGCGCGCCAAAAUAUCGGCGGAGCUCAAAAGGGAGCUGUACGGCUGUGCAAUCACCGGUGCAUGCUGUACGCCGAGGUGGAAGGUUCUUCAGAGAGGAUUGUGACUCAGCAUGUGGAGCUGUGGAUUCAGAUUUCCAUCCUGUACUUAAGCUAUAUCAGCUGGUUGGUGUGAACUUUCUUCUUCUGCUGUACCAAAAAGGGCAUCGGAGGAGGUUGGAUAUCAUCAUCAGUUGCUCUAGGUAGAAAUGAUAACACAUGAUUCUAAGAGCUCUCGGGUUGAACAUGCUCAUGCUGGAGCAGCAUAAGGAUAGGUAACCUACUAACACCUUCAUUGCUUUCUUGGUGGUUUCUUCCUUUCCUUGUUAUUAGUAUAACAAGAUAGUCCUCCUUGGAUUUUAGGCUUGGCUAGUUUCUAUUCUACAAACAUUAGUCUUUGGAACUUUAUUCAGAUUUUAGUCAUAUAUCUUAAUGUUAAACCCACUGUUGAUUUUGCUGAAAUUUAUUUCUAACGUUCAUUGGGUUUAACUUAUUCUGGACACCACUUUGAGUGACAGCACCGAGGUGACAGAGAGACAAACCAUAGUUGAUGCUUUCAACAAUUACACUUCUAUAUUUGCAUGCUUGCUGUCCACUAGUGAUGGACAAUGGGGUUUGAACUUGACUGGAGCUGAUAAUGUUUUAUCCAUGGCAUGAAUUUCAACAAAUUGAUUGAUAGGCAGAAGAUCAAUGUCAUAACUAUCAGUAAAAAAGGCUUGUCGCCAUAUGCAGGUGCGUCAUCACUCAUCCUGUAGGAGGAAAAAGAGCACGACUAAAAUGAAGAUAAAGAGAGAAUGAAGUUGGAAAUAAAAUCACUCCAAUUCCUUCUCUCCAGUCAUUGUCCCAUUUACAUAAGUUUUACAGUCUUGCAAACUAUAUAGUAUGUGCAUGGAUUUUACUCUAGUCUCCACCUUUUUCAAGAUAGUGAACUGAGGGUACAGUUGAUGAGAUGGCAAAAUGAAAGCUUAUUUUGGAUGCUGCUGUUCUUGAUUCUGGGUUGUAGUGGAUAAUUAGUAUGCAUCUAAGAAGACAAUGGGACAUAGCCAGAUACUAUCAUCACUUUUGGGCUAAUAAGAUCAAAUGCAUCUGAUUGCAACUCAUCAUACAUCUUCUCCCAUUUAUUUUGUCCUUCCCUUUAUUUUCUUAAUAACCAUUAUUAAUAGCCUUUAAAUUCAUGAAGUGGUGAAAGUUAAUUGUCAAUUGGACUUGAUUGAUUCAGUCAAUUAUAAGUUUCUAAAGGUAUUAGUGUGAUAUUCUUGGAGCCUCAUUCAACUCUAUAUUUGAGCACUUCUAAUUGUAUCAAUGCUGAAACUGUCCAGGCAUCGGAGCCGCCUCACUUUGUUCACAAAUAUCCUGAAUUUUAGAACCAUGCAUUUUGCUUACUAGAGAUGAAAAUAAGCAAAAUAGAUGUUGGUGUGCCCAUUGUGAACAAGGGACAGUGUGGAAAAAAGGUGCUUGAUUUAUGAUUUAGCUUGAGCAAUAGCCUAGCUUGUCACUAGUGUACGAGUGAAAGGUAUUCACUUGUACUCGUUAAUUUCCCACAAUUUUUUAGCGAUCAGUAAUUUAUUUAUUAUUUGGCUGUUUUACGUUAUUAAGUCUUUAUAGGAAUCUUCAUUUUUCUUUAUUUAAAAUAGUUUGUAAUGUGAAAUUUCCGAUAUUAUUUUUUUGGUCGAAACUAUGACAUUAAAUUUAAUAUGCAAAUAAUGGUACUUGAUGGAUUGGUGAGUUGCUGAGUAGGCAACAAUCUUGUGCAGGACACCAGGCGUAUUGACAUGGAUAAGCCAAUGAGUAGUGCAUGCAAAUUCUGAAACACAAAAUCUAAUUUGUUUAUCUUAAGCAAAGCAGAGAAAAAUUGCAAGUUGGGAUGGGAAGAUAUACACAUCAAGCCAUCGAGGGAAUCUCUUCAAACAGCUUUUAUGCCGUAACAGUAGGGUUUAUGCUUCUGGUGAUUGUCGCAGAACGUCUCUAUUUGUAGCUUCUAUCCAUAAGAAUAGAGAAUUACUGUUCACAGAAUGCCAAUGGGACCCUUUUUGUGUCCUUCCUAUGUCACCAUCAUUCACAUGGAUGUAGCCCAGUUGUUCACAUGUUGGAUUUUUUUUCCCCUCCUCUUCCUCUUUUCUUCAUGCUGUAUGCAAUGUUAGUUUAAUUCACUUUGAUGCAAUUUUGGAUGAGCUGGACUUUCAAAUAAAAAAAUGGAGAAAAUUAUACUUAGGUCCCU